rnacentral:rRNA from 1 species
GCGCGAAAACUUUACAAUGCGGGAAACCGUGAUAAGGGAACUCCGAGUGCCCGUAAAAUCGGGCUGUCCAUCUGUUUAAAUAACAGGUGAAGAAAGGGCCGGGCAAGACUGGUGCCAGCCGCCGCGGUAAUACCGGCGGCUCGAGUGGUGGCCACUAUUACUGGGCUUAAAGCGUUCGUAGCUGGUUUGUUAAGUCUCUGGGGAAAUCUGCCGGCUCAACCGGCAGGCGUUCCAGGGAUACUGGCAGACUAGGGACCGGGAGAGGUGAGGGGUACUCCAGGGGUAGGAGUGAAAUCCUGUAAUCCUUGGGGGACCACCUGUGGCGAAGGCGCCUCACCAGAACGGCUCCGACAGUGAGGGACGAAAGCUGGGGGAGCAAACCGGAUUAGAUACCCGGGUAGUCCCGAGCCGUAAACGAUGCGCGUUAGGUGUAUCGGUGACCACGAGUCACCGAGGUGCCGAAGAGAAAUCGUGAAACGUGCCGCCUGGGAAGUACGGUCGCAAGGGCUGAAACUUAAGGAAUUGGGCGGGGGA